AGCUAUUCUCAAUCAGGCUGUGUUAAAACCACUCAGGUUGAGCAUGGGGAAGCUCAGCCGGUACAAGUGGUAGUCAGUGUUCCCCUGACAGUAUAAUUUUUAUGGUGUUUGUUUUAUCAAACAUAAAUGUGCAACUUGACUGCCACAAACUUCCAGAAAGAAAAAAAACACAAAGAUAUCAUCGCAGAACAUAAAAUAAGAUCUUGUGUGACUUGGACUUCUCACAGAUCUUCCUUUACCUGGGCUGCUGCACUGCCAUCCUGCUCUGCAAUGCUCUAAAUCCCCUUUGAAGACGCUGAGCCAUCUGCUCGAGAUGGAGCCUGAAUAAUAAGAUGCAAACAUUCCUAAUAUAACUUUAGUGCCCCUUUGUGCCACUGUCCAUCAGUUGGUUGGGGUUC
rnacentral:lncRNA from 1 species